rnacentral:rRNA from 1 species
AAGCACCGAAGCGCCAAUGGUACUCGGGCUCAAGCCCCGGGAGAGUAGGUCAUCGCCAAAC